rnacentral:lncRNA from 1 species
AUGGCAAGCACCGCCCGAGGGAUGCUCAGCACCAUUAAAACCAGUCCCACCACGGACAGAGGCUGGGAACCACCCCCAAACUUCCUCACCUGGUGCACGAGGAGUCCUUCCUCCACAGGCCGGCCCUGUGCUCUCAGGAAAGCUGCAGGAUUUUUUCCUGGAGGUGCUGAGGAACCCCCCCUUAGAGCAAGGCACUACAAGAGGGACCCCGAGAUCCCCCACGGCAUGCAAACACCAGCGGGUGGAGACCUGCUCGUGACCAAUCCUCCUGCAAUCCUCCCGUGUUCUCUGCCCCAGUGGGACCUGGCGUUACCCCAGCGUUGGGGCUGGGGCUGGGCAUCCACCUGCCCAGCAGCAGGACCCCCACGGGACCACCACAGGACCCCAGCAGCAGACCAGCCUCGUGCAUCCCAUCUCUGCCAUCUGCCUGCCCCGCCUUGGCCUCGCUCCGUGGCUUUCCACGAGCCACUGGCACGGCCCCAGCGAGCCCUGGGCCAGCGGGCAGUGGCCACAGAACAUUUUGGCAGCUGGGGCAGCCCCCUAACCAGGAAGGGGAGCAGGCAGGGGACAUCGGCAUGGGGGCUGCAUGCAGCACACGUGUGCCAGAGCCCUGUGCCACAGCAAGGGGCUGUGACACCCCGAGGGCUCCAAGGGAGAAGACACUCGACACGCCAGGGCCCCCACCGAACGCCACAGCUCCAAACCCAGCUGGCUCGGGCGAGCAGCCUCGUCAUGGCCGCAUGCAGCUCGUUGCCAUUUCUGCACGCCGGCUCGCCACACCGAGCCGAGCUCUUCACAGCUACAAAUCCUCCAUGGUACAGCCACCGGGGAGAGAAAGCCGGCGGAUGGGGACGCCGCCUCGCCCUGCUGGGGAUCAGCCCACGUCCCCCCCGCCAGCAGCGGCCACGACGGGAACGCGAGGGCCGGGCACGCCUGCACCCGGAGCCAGCGCAGCCCCAGCUCCGACCCGAAGCGUUGGCUGCUCGGAUGAAAAAAACCUCACGUGAUACCACGCCGGUGACGAGCUCUCGACCAUGCAGAGCCUUUCCCAGGCUCGGAGAUCAAACACAUCAAGCAAGGAAGCCGGGGGCUGCAAGCAGCUCGCGCACACCCUGCAGCAGCGUCCUAGGGGUGGGGGGCACAAAGCAGCACCAGGGCUGGGGCUCCCCACGCGUGCUGUCCCCAAGGUCAGCCCCUAGGAUGGAGCAGCGGUGCUGGGAGGGCAACCUCAGGGCUGAUUUAAAACUGGGCUGUGGCCAAAAACACACCGGGGCACCCCAAGGCGGUGGGUGCCCACCUGAAGGCAUGGGGCCACCCCACGCUGCGUGGCUUCACCGCUGA